CCUACGGGAGGCAGCAGUGGGGAAUAUUGGGCAAUGGGCGCAAGCCUGACCCAGCAACGCCGCGUGAAGGAAGAAGGCUUUCGGGUUGUAAACUUCUUUUCUCAGGGACGAAGCAAGUGACGGUACCUGAGGAAUAAGCCACGGCUAACUACGUGCCAGCAGCCGCGGUAAUACGUAGGUGGCAAGCGUUAUCCGGAUUUACUGGGUGUAAAGGGCGUGUAGGCGGGGACGCAAGUCAGAUGUGAAAACCACGGGCUCAACCUGUGGCCUGCAUGUGAAACUGGGUUUCUUGAGUACGGGAGAGGCAGACGGAAUUCGUAGUGUAGCGGUGAAAUGCGUAGAUAUUAGGAGGAACACCAGUGGCGAAGGCGGCCUGCUGGACUGCAACUGACGUUGAGGCCCGAAAGCGUGGGGAGCAAACAGGAUUAGAUACCCGGGUAGUC
rnacentral:rRNA from 1 species